rnacentral:pre_miRNA from 1 species
CCUCCGCGUCGCGCGACUUCCCGUCGAAACGUGCAGUGCACUUGGCGAAGUUGCCUGUGACCGCGGACGG